GGGCGUGAAGUACCAGUAGUUGCGGUCACAGCGCUGCACGUCCUUCUCGAUGCGGUGCAGGUUGACGGUGUACAGGUCCAGGAGCUCCGGCUGCAGGCCCCCAGGAGGGGACGGAGAGAACAAUUACACGCCAGCUCCUCACAGAGAGGUCGCGUUCCAGACAGUCUCCCUCCUCCUACCCCCCUCCUGCUGCCACUGAAAAGAACAUCCUCUCCCCGGACCAGGUGGGUGUUUGAUUUCAUUUUUGUGGUUUUCCGAGAAAGCCUCUUUUCACUUUGUACGAUGACAGUCCCUUUUUCUUUCCUUCCCUUUUAUGAAACAAAACAAUUCUCUAAGCUGCAAAGACGAAUUCUCCUCACUGUGCACGACGGUUGGAACUAGCUGGAGAUGUACCCACCGCCCCCGCGGGACACUGGACAGGAAGACGGAGAAAGCGGACAGGAGUCCAGUUCUGGCAUAUGCCGGGCUUGAUGCCUUGACCCCCAUCUGAGGAAAAGGCUCAGUGAUAUGGCAAGAAAAAUGAGGAACGAUUAAAGGCCAAAAAUUCACCACAAAGGCAAGAAAUACCAAAUCUGGCUUUUGCCUUGAGGAAAGCUUCCAGACUGGGAAACCUGAAGCUUGGAUUUAAUGGUUUUGGGGAUCCUUCUCCCUGAAGAAAUAACACGCUCUUCAAAGGAAAAUGGAUAUACACAGUGCCUGGCUCAGAAAACCUCCCAUUCAGUUGACAUCCUUUGGCUUGGACUUUUUGGCAACAAAGUAAACUGGAGUACUUAAAAGAUGUUGGACCUGAGUGUACCCCAAGAUGUUGUUCUCAUCGAGGCUGCUAUUGAUGGAAAGCUCACCGCACAUCAGGCACAGAGGACUGGACUCCCUACUUCUGAGAACAGCUCAGGCAGGAAGGUACUCGACUGAUAGAAAACUGAGACUCAGAAAGAAAAAGUGAGGUGCCUCUGCUGGGACUGAACCCGGGACGAUUUGACUGCAAAGCCUGUGUUCUUUAAAUACUAUACUAUCUGCCCAGAAGGGCUUCUCCAGUGCAGACUCUGUGAUGGGGAACAUGUAACAGAUCAGAGGUCAUUCUGGGAAACUGAGGCUCGUGGGACACACCCACUGUCCCACGGCUGUUAGGUACGAAAAUUAAGUGCAGGAGAAUCCUGGUGACUUACAGAGUAAGUGACGCCACUGGAAGACACGGGGGACGCCUCGUUGUUGGCAGAAGUGGCCACGGCCAGAGAGGCCAGGGCGGGGAAGAGACUUUCCAUCUCGGGCUCCUCUGAGAGGUUGUCCUCACUGUCCACACGGCUGUGCUUCCCCACCUCACUGUCUCCCCAGCCCUCCAUCGCGGCCCCCUCCUUUCCGGGCAGGGCCACGUCCAUGCUGCCAGUGAGGGACAUGAACUCGUCCAUGCUCUCGUUGGCGAGGAGGUCGCUCUCCAGGCUGUCCUGCACGGCCAGGUCCUCGCGGGGGGCCUCAUCCCGGGAGGUGGUGGCCUCACUGCUCUGCCCGUCAUCCACGCUGCUGUCCCCAGGUCGAAGCACCAGAGGGGCAUUCCGCUGGGCGUCCAUGACGCUGUCCUCCGUGCUCAGGCUGGGUUCCGAGGGCUCCGAGAGGCCCGAGGAGAAGUUGUGGGAUGACGGAUGGCCGGAGUCCGGGGAACAGGUGCCAUUCACCAGGUUCCCAUUGGGGAUCUUGGGCUGUCUCUCCUCCAACCUGCCUUCUGCCUCCACCUGCUCCACUUCGUCCACAGACUCAAACACCUGAAGAUGAGGUAUGCAUACACGGAGAGAUUAGGAUGCCCACUGCUUCCAGCACCAAUCUAAACAUCCAUCAGCAGGGGGCCGGUUCCAAUAUGGAACAUGCACGUGGAAUACUAUACAGUCGGGGAAAGGAAUGGGACGGACCAGGUGUAAUGUAUGCUCCCGCCGUGGGAAAUACAAGAGUGACCUACUGCAUGGAAAUGCCUAGAAUAACCCAGAAAGAAGAAAGCCCUGAAAUUGAGGAGUAUUAGGGAACCGAAGUAGCAGGAAGUGUACCUUUCAUCACAAAAAAUUUUUUGCAUAUAACUUUUUAAAGUAAGAAAUGAAUUUACAACAUAGGAAACAGGCUAAAAACAG